GAUGAACGCUGGCGGCGUGCCUAAUACAUGCAAGUCGAGCGAACGGACGAUAAGCUUGCUUCUCUGAUGUUAUCGGCGGACGGGUGAGUAACACUUGUAUAACCUACCUAUAAUACUGGGAUAACUUCGGGAAACCGGAGCUAAUACCGGAUAAUAUUUUGAACCGCAUUGUUCAAAAGUUAAAGACGGUCUUGCUGUCACUUAUAGAUUGAUCCUCGCUGCAUUAGCUAGUUGGUAAGGUAACGUCUUACCAAGGCAACGAUGCAUAGCCGACCUGAGAGGGUGAUCGGCCACACUGGAACUGAGACAAGGUACAGACUCCGACGGGAGGCAGCAGUAGGGAAUAUUACGCAAUGGGCGAAAGCAUGACGGAGCAAAGCCGCGUGAGUGAUGAAGGUCUUAGGAUCGUAAAACUCUGUUAUUAGGGAAGAACAUAUGUGUAAGUAACUGUGCACAGAGUGACGGUAAAUAAUAAGAAAGCAACGGCUAACUACGUG
rnacentral:rRNA from 1 species